rnacentral:rRNA from 1 species
GCAAGUCGAACGAAGUAGCAAUACUUAGUGGCAGACGGGUGAGUAACAUGUAGGUAUCUACCCUAUGGCCUGGAAUAACACGAGGAAACUUGUGCUAAUACUGGAUAAGUCUUUACGGAGAAAGCUUUAUGCACCAUUGGAUGAGCCUGCACUUGAUUAGUUUGUUGGUAGGGUAAUGGCCUACCAAGACUGUGAUCAAUAGCUGAUUUGAGAGGAUGAUCAGCCACAUUGGGACUGAGACACGGCCCAAACUCCUACGGGAGGCAGCAGUGGGGAAUCUUGCACAAUGGAGGAAACUCUGAUGCAGCGAUGCCGCGUGAGUGAAGAAGGCCUUUGGGUUGUAAAGCUCUUUCGUCGGGGAAGAAAAUGACUGUACCCGAAUAAGAAGGUCCGGCUAACUUCGUGCCAGCAGCCGCGGUAAUACGAAGGGACCUAGCGUAGUUCGGAAUUACUGGGCUUAAAGAGUUCGUAGGUGGUUGAAAAAGUUGGUGGUGAAAUCCCAGAGCUUAACUCUGGAACUGCCAUCAAAACUUUUCAGCUAGAGUUUGAUAGAGGAAAGCAGAAUUUCUAGUGUAGAGGUGAAAUUCGUAGAUAUUAGAAAGAAUACCAAUUGCGAAGGCAGCUUUCUGGAUCAUUACUGACACUGAGGAACGAAAGCAUGGGUAGCGAAGAGGAUUAGAUACCCUCGUAGUCCAUGCCGUAAACGAUGUGUGUUAGACGUUGGAAAUUUAUUUUCAGUGUCGCAGCGAAAGCAAUAAACACACCGCCUGGGGAGUACGACCGCAAGGUUAAAACUCAAAUGAAUUGACG